rnacentral:rRNA from 1 species
CGGCCGCGUCGACCCAGACUCCUACGGGAGGCAGCAGUAGGGAAUCUUCGGCAAUGGGGGCGAACCCUGACCGAGCAACGCCGCGUGAGUGAAGAAGGUUUUCGGUAUCGUAAAGCUCUGUUGUAAGUCAAGAACGGGUGUGAGAGUGGAAAGUUCACACUGUGACGGUAGCUUACCAGAAAGGGACGGCUAACUACGUGCCAGCAGCCGCGGUAAUACGUAGGUCCCGAGCGUUGUCCGGAUUUAUUGGGCGUAAAGCGAGCGCAGGCGGUUUGAUAAGUCUGAAGUUAAAGGCUGUGGCUCAACCGUCGACGCGGCAGUGGAAACUGAACAGCUAGAGUAUGGUAGGGGCAGAGGGAAUUCCUGGUGUAGCGGUGAAAUGCGUAGAGAUCAGGAAGAACAUCGGUGGCGAAGGCGCUCUGCUGGACCAUAACUGACACUCAGGGACG